rnacentral:rRNA from 1 species
UACGGAGGGUGCGAGCGUUGUCCGGAAUCACUGGGCGUAAAGGGCGCGUAGGCGGCCUGAUAAGUAGGGGGUGAAAUCCUGCGGCUUAACCGCAGGGCUGCCUUCUAAACUGUCAGGCUAGAGCACAGUAGAGGCAGGUGGAAUUCCCGGUGUAGCGGUGGAAUGCGUAGAGAUCGGGAAGAACAUCAGUGGCGAAGGCGGCUCUCUGGGACGGUACUGACGCUGAGACGCGAAAGCGUGGGGAGCGAACAGG